rnacentral:lncRNA from 1 species
UUUUGAGUGAGGCGGUGAUGGAUGUUGACGUGUCCUGGCGAGGUGUUUCUGUUGACGCAGCCAUGGACACUGUUUCUCUCUCUUUUUGUUCUGAGUCUUACUCACUCCCUUACCUUUUGUUGCGUGCUAUCUAAUGUUCAAAUGUGUGAGGCAUAGCAUGCAUCAUCUCAGAUCUUGCAAUUGCCGAUGAUCCUUUAUGAGUAACUCUUUCUUUAUCUCUCUCUUUCUUUUAUGUUCCUUUUCAUCAUCAUCAUCAUCAACCAUCACUCUUCAUAAUGGCAAACAUAAUGUUUUGUCCAUUUCUCUUCUUCUUCUUCUUCUUACAUGUUUUCAUUUUCCUCGUCUGGAUAUAACGAGGCAGUGACGAUGUUUCCUGAAAUUGAAUCAGGCACUCGGAGAAGGAGAGGCGUGUCAUGUUCUGUUCUGGCGAGGCGAUUCACUUUGUGUUCGCAGCCACGACAUCUCGCUCUUUUCCCCUCUCUGUCUGACAAAACCUAAAUCUGAGCCUCUUCCUUCAAAACCAUUUUCCUUUCUUCUUACUAAUUAACGUGACGACAAAACAAAACCAAUCGAAAUCAUUAUUUUCCCUAACUUUUAGAUUUAUUUUGUGAUUUUAUUCAUAUUUCUUCUGUUUCUUACUCUAUAAUUUUGUGUACUUUGUAAUUUAUUUAUGUUUUCCGACUCUUAGAUUUAUCUGUG